GUGGGGAAUAUUGGACAAUGGGGGGAACCCUGAUCCAGCCAUGCCGCGUGUGUGAAGAAGGCCUUUUGGUUGUAAAGCACUUUAAGCGAGGAGGAGGCUACCGAGAUUAAUACUCUUGGAUAGUGGACGUUACUCGCAGAAUAAGCACCGGCUAACUCUGUGCCAGCAGCCGCGGUAAUACAGAGGGUGCAAGCGUUAAUCGGAUUUACUGGGCGUAAAGCGCGCGUAGGUGGCCAAUUAAGUCAAAUGUGAAAUCCCCGAGCUUAACUUGGGAAUUGCAUUCGAUACUGGUUGGCUAGAGUAUGGGAGAGGAUGGUAGAAUUCCAGGUGGAGCGGUGAAAUGCGUAGAGAUCUGGAGGAAUACCGAUGGCGAAGGCAGGUGGCUGUACCUUAAUCGACGCUGAUGCACGAAAGCAUGGGGAGCAAACAGGAUUAGAUAUCCGGGUAGUCC
rnacentral:rRNA from 1 species